rnacentral:rRNA from 1 species
CCUACGGGUGGCAGCAGUCGAGAAUCAUUCACAAUGGGGGAAACCCUGAUGGUGCGACGCCGCGUGGGGGAAUGAAGGUCUUCGGAUUGUAAACCCCUGUCAUGUGGGAGCAAAUUAAAAUGAUAGUAUCACAAGAGGAAGAGACGGCUAACUCUGUGCCAGCAGCAGCGGGAAUACAGAGGUCUCAAGCGUUGUUCGGAAUGACUGGGCGUAAAGUGUGCGUAGGCUGUUUGGUAAGUCGUAUGUGAAAGGCGCGGGCUCAACCCGCGGACGGCACAUGAUACUGCGAGACUAGAGUGAUGGAGGGGGAAGCGGAAUUCUCGGUGUAGCGGUGAAAUGCGUAGAUA